UAUAUGCACAAAAAAAUAGGGCUAUUACUAAUUGUUUUGAAGCAUUCAGGCACAUGGAAUAUUGAUAAUGAGUAUGAACAAUACCAGUUGGACUCAAUUGCAAUUGAUGAAAUUGAAAAGUAUACUUUGGUGUGUAAAUCGAAAGAAUGUGGUUGAUUUCUAAUGAUAUCUAAUAAUAAGAAGCUCAGUUUAUUUAAGAUUCAAAAGUUCCAGCAAAAGCAUACUUCUCCUUUAAAGGAUCGAGUGUACAAGCAGAAAUAUGUUAGUAGUGCAUUGAUUGGUGACAUUGUGAAACAGAAGUUAUCCAACCAUAAAAGAAUAUAUACGGAAAAACACAUACAAGAGGAUAUUAGGAAUGAGCUCGGAUUAAAUUUGACUUAUGCAAUGGCUUGGAGGGAUAGAGAGAGAGCUUUGAUUUCAUUGAAGGGGACAACAUAUGCAUCCUACAACAGACUGUCGGGAUAUUUAUACAUGCUGGGAAAGAUUUAGCCUGUUUCACAUAUACAAAUGAAAAAAAAAACAGAUGAUGAAUUUUUUUGUGUUUAUAUCGCUCUACUGUUCAAUUAAAUGAUUUGAUUCAUGUCAACCGAUUGUUGUUUUUUAUGGCAAUCAUCUAAGGAAAACAUAUAAUGGAAUUUUUGUGUCAUCAAGUACACUUGAUGGAACAAGUUUUUAUA